GUCUACAGCCAUGCUACCCUGAACAAGCCCAAUCCCAUCUGAUCUCAGAAGCUAAGCAAGGUCGGGCCUGCUUAGUACUUGGAUGGGAGACCACCUAGGAAGACUAGGUGCUGUAGGCG
rnacentral:rRNA from 1 species